UUGAACGCUGGCGGCGUGCUUAACACAUGCAAGUCGCGCGUGAAAGGACUUCGGUCCGAGUAAAGCGGCGCACGGGUGAGUAACGCGUGGAUGAUCUACCCAUGAGUUAGGAAUAACGGCUGGAAACGGUCGCUAAUACCAAAUACGCUCCGAUUUCAACUUCGGGGGAAAGGUGGCCUCUGCUUGCAAGCUACUGCUCAUGGAUGAGUCCGCGUCCCAUUAGCUAGUUGGUGGGGUAACGGCCCACCAAGGCGACGAUGGGUAGCCGGUCUGAGAGGAUGACCGGCCACGACUGGGACUGGAACACGGGCCCAGACUCCUACGGGAGGCAGCAGUGGGGAAUAUUGCGCAAUGGGCGAAAGCCUGACGCAGCGACGCCGCGUGAGGGAUGAAAAGGGUCCUCGGAUCGUAAACCUCUGUCAGGAGGGAAGAACCGCCACGGUGCUAAUCAGCCGUGGUCUGACGGUACCUCCAAAGGAAGCACCGGCUAACUCCGUGCCAGCAGCAGC
rnacentral:rRNA from 1 species